rnacentral:lncRNA from 1 species
UUCCUACUUGUUUUAUUAGUUACACCAGCUUUCUUACCCUUUCUGCUUUGUUUCCCUGGCAUGCAGAAAAAAGUAAAUAGUGCUGAUGCAGAGGAAGACUGUGCAAGACUCCGGCUUGAAAAGAAGGAAUAGAGUCAGAAGUUGUUUGCAAGUUUUCUUCUGCCUUACUGAGGACUGGUGAGAACAGUGGGGGACAGAAAUGUUGUCUUGCUUGAUUUUCCCAAGAGUCAUGUGAAAACACCUGUGAUUUUUAAUUGAUUUAAUUAAUGGGUAAACUGGAUGAAGCUGAAUGUAAGUUUGUGUUUGGAAGAGGAGAAGAAGUGCUGAAGCAAGAGAACCAGUAGUUUUCUCUACUGGGAGAAGGGAAGAGCCUGUUUCCUGCUACAAAGCUCAUGUUUGAGGAGAACAGAGGACACAAGUAGUUUUUACCCGAAAAUGUGCUGAUAUGUGAGUAUAUGCAGGUGGACAGAAACCUCAUAUUUUCAUUCAGGUGAGCUUAAUAAACCACUAUGCCACUGAUGUCA